rnacentral:rRNA from 1 species
UACGUAGGGGGCGAGCGUUACCCGGAUUUACUGGGCGUAAAGGGAGCGCAGGCGGCGCGCCAAGUCUGAUGUGAAACCCCGGGGCUCAACCCCGGGCAUGCAUUGGAAACUGGCGGGCUGGAGUGCCGGAGAGGUAAGCGGAAUUCCUAGUGUAGCGGUGAAAUGCGUAGAUAUUAGGAGGAACACCAGUGGCGAAGGCGGCUUACUGGACGGCAACUGACGCUGAGGCUCGAAAGCGUGGGGAGCAAACAGG